rnacentral:rRNA from 1 species
UACGUAGGGGGCAAGCGUUGUCCGGAUUUAUUGGGCGUAAAGAGCGUGUAGGCGGUCAGGUAGGUCCGUUGUGAAAACUCGAGGCUCAACCUCGAGACGCCGAUGGAAACCAUCUGACUAGAGUUCGGCAGGGGAGACUGGAAUUCCUGGUGUAGCGGUGAAAUGCGCAGAUAUCAGGAGGAACACCGGUGGCGAAGGCGGGUCUCUGGGCCGAUACUGACGCUGAGGAGCGAAAGCGUGGGGAGCGAACAGG